GCUUGCUUAAAGGGGCCGUAGCCGGCCUUGUAAGUCCUCCCUUAAACGGCGUGGCUCAACCACGCCGCUGGGGAGGAUACUGCAAGGCUAGGGAGCGGGAGAGGCGAGGGGUACUCGGGAGGUAGUGGCAAAAUACGAUAAUCUCCCGAGGACCACCAGUGGCGGAGGCGCCUCGCUAGAACGCGUCCGACGGUGAGGGACGAAAGCUGGGGGAGCAAAAGGGAUUAGAGACCCCUGUAGUCCCAGCUGUAAACGAUGCGGGCUAAAUGUUGGGCGAGGUUAGGCCUCGCUCAGUGUUGCAGGGAAGCCGUUAAGCCCGCCGCUUGGGGAGUACGGUCGCAAGACUGAAACUUAAAGGAAUUGGCGGGGGAGUACCACAAGGGGUGGAGGCUGCGGUUCAAUUGGAGUCAACGCCGGAAACCUUACCAGGGGCGACAGCAGGAUGAAGGUCAGGCUGAAGACCUUACUAGACGAGCUGAGAGGAGGUGCAUGGCCGUCGCC
rnacentral:rRNA from 1 species